rnacentral:rRNA from 1 species
GAUGAACGCUGGCGGCGUGCUUAACACAUGCAAGUCGAACGGUGAAGCAGAGCUUGCUCUGUGGAUCAGUGGCGAACGGGUGAGUAACACGUGAGCAACCUGCCCCUUACUCUGGGAUAAGCGCUGGAAACGGCGUCUAAUACUGGAUAUGAGCUGCGACCGCAUGGUCAGCAGUUGGAAAGAUUUUUCGGUCUGGGAUGGGCUCACGGCCUAUCAGCUUGUUGGUGAGGGAAUGGCUCACCAAGGCGUUGACGGGUAGCCGGCCUGAGAGGGUGACCGGCCACACUGGGACUGAGACACGGCCCAGACUCCUACGGGAGGCAGCAGUGGGGAAUAUUGCACAAUGGGCGAAAGCCUGAUGCAGCAACGCCGCGUGAGGGAUGACGGCCUUCGGGUUGUAAACCUCUUUUAGCAGGGAAGAAGCGAAAGUGACGGUACCUGCAGAAAAAGCGCCGGCUAACUACGUG